rnacentral:tRNA from 1 species
GCCUGGGUGGCUCAUUCAGUUAAGCAUCUGACUUCAGCUCAGGUCAUGAUCUCAUGGUUUGUGGGUUCAAGCCCCACAUCAGGCA